UACAGAGGGUGCAAGCGUUGUUCGGAAUUAUUGGGCGUAAAGGGAGUGUAGGCGGCUAUUUAAGUCUCAUGUGAAAUCUGCGGGCUUAGCCUGACAAAGUGCAUGGGAAACUGGGUAGCUUGGGUGUCGGAGAGGAUGGCGGAAUUCCCGGUGUAGAGGUGAAAUUCGUAGAGAUCGGGAGGAACACCAGUGGCGAAGGCGGCUAUCUGGCUGACAACUGACGCUGAGACUCGAAAGCAUGGGGAGCAAACAGG
rnacentral:rRNA from 1 species